UAUUUACAUUUAUUGUUCUCCGCCUUUUACCAAACGCGGAUCUGUUACAUUGUCGCUUUUCUGCACACGUGUGGCGAUUGUCCCGUGCGUUUUGUGAUGCGUGUUUUUUGUAUGAUAUUGUAAUCUGUUCUUUUGGUUCUUAUGCUGAGUUUGGCGUGUCCGGAUAUCGGCCGAUUCUCAUUUCCUUCCAUGUAAACUGAGCUGCGAGGAAUAUGCCCUUGGGGGGGGUGAUAUAAUUUACUGGAAAUUUAAUUUGUGGCAUUGUGUCUGGUAUGUCUUGUUGGGCGUGCGCAGCCACGUGCCCAGGGAUUACAGCGUUAAUGAUGAUAAUUUAUUCAGCUGAUAAUUAUUAUCAUUAUUAUUGAUGUAUAUAGCGCCAUCAUAUUCCACAGCGCUGUACAACGGGUAAACAUUGCAUCACAUAACAUUUUUGAGGGGUUUGCCCAAUAAGCUUACAAUCUAGAAGAGAAAACAGUUCCUAAAUAACGAAUUAUAUUCCUCAGACUAUUACAGUGUAUGCAGCUGCGUCGUAUUAAAGGUCAUUUUAACAAAACCAAACAAUUAUGAUCACGAGGUGAAAAAAUAAUAUUAAGAAACAAAGUGUAAAAAUGCUUUUGGAAUGCUUUUGUGCUUUUUACGCUAUUUUUGAUAAUAUCCGCACUUUUGCCGCCAAACCUGUGCUCAUGCGCAGCGUUACCGUCAGACUGUGUUCAGGAACUCUGUGUCCGUGGGUUAUGAAGCUGUGAUUGACACGUUUUUUACUUGAAUUGGACCAGAAAUAUAUAUAUUUAUGCUUUAUUUAAAUAAGCGCUCGUCUGUCACCUGAUUCGUCACCGCAGCUGCACCGUAAAGCAUUUCAAACUGUUUGAUACAAAUUAUUUUAAUAAAGAGGAUUUUCAUGCA